rnacentral:lncRNA from 1 species
UAAAGGAGUGAGAGACAUAUUUAUCAAUUAAAGCACGUGCGAUAGUAUCAUAAACAAAAAACAUACCUUGAAUAAUAGUGGGUGUGAUAGGAACAUCAUACUCAUCCAGGUGGUAGACACAUCCCUGGGCAACAGGUCUGGCGAGGCCCUUGUGCCUCUAUAGGAAAUCCUUCACCAAAUGUUGUGUACUCCCGCACUUGUAAUAAGAGUGGUUCAGGCGUCA